rnacentral:lncRNA from 1 species
UUGUCUGUGGUGCGCCGGGUGUACCUGUACAGCCCAUCACGUGGCCUUUUUUUAAAAACAAUGAAAACUGGUUCUUUUGGUUAACCAGUUAAACUAAGGAAAAAAAAAACUCCCGCUCGUUCAAAACCUAGGCUGCACACAGAUCGAUUUCGUCUAUCUCCUCCUCCAAAACUUUGCACAGCCACAGCUCUAUUUCGGUGAAUUCAUAGCUGCACAGCUUCCUACAGCCUGAAGAAGCUCCCCCCACUUCGUCUUCUCCAUCUGAGGAGCAGAUUUCAGCCAAAACCCAGAAACCCACUUCGUCUUCUCCAGCUGCUUCCUCCAUCUCGGUAAGUUCGUGUGUUGAUUUUUGUUAUGUGUAAUUGAUGGUUCUAUUUAAUUUAUUCUUCUAGUGAUUUUGAAUUGUUGUUUCAGUUUUUUCAUUGAACAAUUCCAGAAAUUAAUGAUUCAAAUUUUGUAUUUCUUUUCCCACUCUGCAUUUCUGCUGGGUUGUUAUAGUGCCUCUUGAUCUGAUUGUAUAUAUAAAUACCCAUAAGGCCUCUGAUUGUGUAUGAUUUAAUUGUGGUGGGUUUGUGAUUCUGAAAGUGGCGUGAGGUGAAGUGGGUAUCUGACAUUGAUGGCUGUAAUGUUCAUGCAAUUGCAUAUCUCUGUAUGCAAUUACUAAUAGCGUGUAUGCAAAUCCAAGUCAUUGAAUGCAAUUAGAGUAUAUAGUUUUUUUUUCCAAAGUAUGCACGUAUCUCACAUUCAUAGUUGUAAUGUUCGUGGAAUUGCAUAGCUCAAUAUGCAAUUGCAUAGCUCAAUAUGCAAUUGCAUAUCUCUAUAUGCAAUUACUAAUAGCCUGUAUGCAAAUCCAAGUCAUUGAAUGCAAUGACAGUAUAUAGUUUUUGUUUCAAAUUAUGCAACUCAGGUGAUUUCGUGGUAGGUAGGUAGGUUUGACUGUGCUUUAGAAUAAUUUGUUAUGGGGAUUAAAGUGUUCCGAAAGUGUAAUGUGAGGAUUGGUUAAGAUUUGUAUUGGGAUUUGAAAUGAGUAAGAAUCCCGACCCAAUAGAGAAAUGCAUGGGUGGGUUGUGUGCAUUAUCUGUGCAAUGUAAUAAUCGAGG